GUCGAGAAUCUUUCACAAUGGGGGCAACCCUGAUGGAGCGACGCCGCGUGGAGGAUAAGGUCUUCGGAUUGUAAACUCCUGUCAUGCGUGAACAAGGUUGCUUGGUUAAUACCUGGGCAAAUUGAUGGUAACGCAAGAGGAAGAGACGGCUAACUCUGUGCCAGCAGCCGCGGUAAUACAGAGGUCUCAAGCGUUGGUCGGAAUCACUGGGCGUAAAGGGUGCGUAGGUGGCGUGGUAAGUCAGAUGUGAAAGCACGGGGCUCAACCUGGUAACUGCAUCCGAUACUGCCAUGCUAUAGUAAUGGAGAGGUGACUAGAAUUCUCGGUGUAGCAGUGAAAUGCGUAGAUAUCGAGAGGAAUACCAAAGGCGUAGGCAGGUCACUGGACAGUUACUGACACUGAGCCACGACGGCCAGGGGAGCGAACGGGAUUAGAUACCCGAGUAGUCC
rnacentral:rRNA from 1 species